UACGGAGGGUGCAAACGUUGCUCGGAAUCAUUGGGCGUAAAGCGCACGUAGGCGGCUUGUUAAGUCGGGUGUGAAAUCCCUGGGCUCAACCUCGGAACUGCCUUUGAUACUGGGUAUCUUGAGUAUGGAAGAGGUAAGUGGAAUUGCGAGUGUAGAGGUGAAAUUCGUAGAUAUUCGCAGGAACACCAGUGGCGAAGGCGGCUUACUGGUCCAUUACUGACGCUGAGGUGCGAAAGCGUGGGGAGCAAACAGGG
rnacentral:rRNA from 1 species